ACGCCUUAUACAUGCAAGUCGAACGAAGUAGCAAUACUUAGUGGCAGACGGGUGAGUAACAUGUAGGUAUCUUCCCUUUGGUGAGGAAUAACACGAGGAAACUUGUGCUAAUACCUCAUAAGUCUUUACGGAGAAAGCUUUAUGCGCCGAAGGAUGAGCCUGCACUUGAUUAGUUUGUUGGUGGGGUAAUGGCCUACCAAGACUUUGAUCUAUAGCUGAUCUGAGAGGAUGAUCAGCCACAUUGGGACUGAGACACGGCCCAAACUCCUACGGGAGGCAGCAGUAGGGAAUAUUGCACAAUGGAGGAAACUCUGAUGCAGCGAUGCCGCGUGAGUGAAGAAGGCCUUUGGGUUGUAAAGCUCUUUCGUCGGGGAAGAAAAUGACUGUACCCGAAUAAGAAGGUCCGGCUAACUUCGUGCCAGCAGCCGCGGUAAUACGAAGGGACCUAGCGUAGUUCGGAAUUACUGGGCUUAAAGAGUUCGUAGGUGGUUAAAAAAGUUGGUGGUGAAAUCCCAGAGCUUAACUCUGGAACUGCCAUCAAAACUUUUUAGCUAGAGUAUGAUAGAGGAAAGCAGAAUUUCUAGUGUAGAGGUGAAAUUCGUAGAUAUUAGAAAGAAUACCAAUUGCGAAGGCAGCUUUCUGGAUCAUUACUGACGCUGAGGAACGAAAGCAUGGGUAGCGAAGAGGAUUAGAUACCCUCGUAGUCCAUGCCGUAAACGAUGUGUGUUAGACGUUGGAAAUUUAUUUUCAGUGUCGCAGCGAAAGCAUUAAACACACCGCCUGGGGAGU
rnacentral:rRNA from 1 species